AACUAGCAGCUCUCUACCUAUAGGGG
rnacentral:piRNA from 1 species